UUUUUCUGUAACUAGCAUGGC
rnacentral:piRNA from 1 species